rnacentral:rRNA from 1 species
UGGGGAAUUUUGGACAAUGGGCGAAAGCCUGAUCCAGCAAUGCCGCGUGUGUGAAGAAGGCCUUCGGGUUGUAAAGCACUUUUGUCCGGAAAGAAAUCCUUGGCUCUAAUACAGUCGGGGGAUGACGGUACCGGAAGAAUAAGCACCGGCUAACUACGUGCCAGCAGCCGCGGUAAUACGUAGGGUGCAAGCGUUAAUCGGAAUUACUGGGCGUAAAGCGUGCGCAGGCGGUUUGCUAAGACCGAUGUGAAAUCCCCGGGCUCAACCUGGGAACUGCAUUGGUGACUGGCAGGCUAGAGUAUGGCAGAGGGGGGUAGAAUUCCACGUGUAGCAGUGAAAUGCGUAGAGAUGUGGAGGAAUACCGAUGGCGAAGGCAGCCCCCUGGGCCAAUACUGACGCUCAUGCACGAAAAGCGUGGGGAGCAAAACAGGAUUAGAUACCCUGGUAGUCCACGCCCUAAAACGAUGUCAACUAGUUGUUGGGGAUUCAUUUCCUUAGUAACGUAGCUAACGCGUGAAGUUGACCGCCUGGGGAGUACGGUCGCAAAGAUUAAAAACUUCAAAUGAAUUGACGGGGUCAUAGCUGUUUCCU